rnacentral:rRNA from 1 species
UGGCGACGGGUGAGUAACGCGUGGGUAACCUGCCCCAUAGAGGGGGACAACAGCCGGAAACGGCUGCUAAUACCGCAUAGUAAGGUAAAGGCGCAUGCUUAUGCCUUGAAAGAUUUAUCGCUAUGGGAUGGACCCGCGUCUGAUUAGCUAGUUGGUAAGGUAACGGCCUACCAAGGCAACGAUCAGUAGCCGGACUGAGAGGUUGACCGGCCACAUUGGGACUGAGAUACGGCCCAGACUCCUACGGAAGGCAGCAG